UACGUAGGGUGCGAGCGUUGUCCGGAAUUAUUGGGCGUAAAGAGCUCGUAGGCGGUGUGUCACGUCGUUCGUGAAAACCUGCAGCUUAACUGUGGGCGUGCGGUCGAUACGGGCAGGCUAGAGUUCGGUAGGGGAGACUGGAAUUCCUGGUGUAGCGGUGGAAUGCGCAGAUAUCAGGAGGAACACCUAUAGCGAAGGCAGCUUGCUGGGACGACACUGACGCUAAGGCGCGAAAGCGUGGGGAGCGAACAGG
rnacentral:rRNA from 1 species